GGGGGAUUAGCCCAGAGGCUUAAGGCACCUAGCAGUGAGCUACCAAGUGAACUGCUUGAUAUCGGUGGUUCGAAUCCAUCAUCCCCCA
rnacentral:tRNA from 1 species